GUGAAGUAUUCCGUGUACAGCUGUCCUGGUCACCGAACACUAUCCUUAGUACUGUUGAUGGUAGCCUCUCAGAUCAUGAAAUUAGUAGGCCCUCAACCUUAUAUGUGCUUUGGAUGUCAGGUGUUCAAAUAGAGGAAUUAAUUGCAUCCAGUGUUGAAUCUUCAACUGACCAACUGGCUGCUACUCAGGACUUAGGAAGCAUCCCAAGUCCCCUCCAUUCCAGUGAUCAGGAAGUUGGCUUCUCCCCCUGCCCUGUUCCAGCUUUCUCACCACCAAUUGACAAUUCUUCGCCCUCGUCACCGCCAUGUGAAGUUUAUGCAUUAGAUUCUGAAGAUGAGGAGGAUGUGGUGAUGUUGACCUCACCUGUUUAUUCUGACAAUUAAAUUGAUGAUGACGUUUCUGCUGCUGACAUCAUCAGAACAUUUCAGAGGGAAAAUCUAAAUUUGGAAGAAAGGGUUGAUUGUAGUGGCCAGAAGGAGGAAAAUUCUUCAUAGUGCAUGUACUGCACUGAAAACUAGCUACUUUGCAUGGCACAAAUCCCCACAAAUUGAAUUUGUAGGUGAAAGUGCUGAUGACUAUGGGGGACCUA